rnacentral:tRNA from 1 species
GCUGAUAGGGCUGCUAAGCAGGCCACUGUGAUAUAGUGGUUGUAUAGAUAAUUCUUUCGUCGGUA